rnacentral:tmRNA from 2 species
GGGGAUGAUCGGCAUCGACAAAAAGCCUUUUUCAAAAUCGUGCAUGCCGAGUAUUCUAAAACCUCGUUAAACUUUUAGAAAUCAAAUAAGUGCAAACUUAUUCAAAACUCCUGCUUUAGCAUACGCUUAAAGCACGCUCGCCUGCCGAUUCUCAAUAGACAAUCGCGAGUGUCAUUUUUUGAGAUAGAUAAUUUCUCCUGAUUCGAAGAAAUUAUUAAAAACUAGAAUCACCCUCAAAAAAUUUUUGCCUGGUUUAUAUUUUUUGAGUUAAACAAAUCAGGAUAAGCAUGUAGAUUCAUUUUGAAAAACUUUUUGCACGCGGGUUCGAUUCCCGCCAUCUCCACCC